CCGAGUUCUCCUUGAGGUGCUAACCAUGUCCUUCAAGCGCCUCUUGACGAUCUCAUUGAAGUAAUAUUGGACAGUCCAUGUGAUUAAGGGAUCCUAGUGGUGAGUUUUCUACAAAAAAAGGAAGAAGUUAGUGAACUGAACUUGAGCAGACAAUAAAACAAAGACUGAACAAAGCAAAGAGUCAGGAAGCUUACCGCGAACUCUAAAAACAGUCUCUCUCUUUUAGCCAAUGGAACACAUGACCAAUUAUAGUAAGGAGCAUUGAACUUUUGAGUAAAGAUCCUUGUGAUCUUUCGAACCAGUUUAGACCCUCUGUCGCGAGUAAACCUCCAAGCACAUGCAACAAUGAAAGAAGUAAACAUGUU
rnacentral:sRNA from 1 species